rnacentral:tRNA from 1 species
GUAGUGGGAGGUCACUGGUAGGGUUCUCGCCUUCCAUGCGGGAGGCCUGGGUUCAAGUCCUGGCCAAUGCG